rfam:Triticum urartu cultivar G1812 contig362569, whole genome shotgun sequence.
GUGCUACUCCCUCCGUUCGGAAUUACUUGACUUGGAUAUAGAUGUAUUUAGAAUUAAAAUACAUCUAGAUACAUCCAUUUCUGCGACAAGUAAUUCCGAACAGAAGGAGUAUAAA